UAUGUAGGGUGCAAGCGUUGUCCGGAAUUAUUGGGCGUAAAGAGCUCGUAGGCGGUUCGUCGCGUCGGCUGUGAAAUCCCGAGGCUCAACCUCGGGUCUGCAGUCGAUACGGGCGGACUGGAGUUCGGCAGGGGAGACUGGAAUUCCUGGUGUAGCGGUGAAAUGCGCAGAUAUCAGGAGGAACACCGGUGGCGAAGGCGGGUCUCUGGGCCGAUACUGACGCUGAGGAGCGAAAGCGUGGGGAGCGAACAGG
rnacentral:rRNA from 1 species